GCAAGUCGAACGGAAACGAUGGAAGCUUGCUUCCAGGCGUCGAGUGGCGGACGGGUGAGUAAUGCAUAGGAAUCUGCCUUUUAGUGGGGGAUAACGUGGGGAAACCCACGCUAAUACCGCAUAAUCUCUACGGAGGAAAGCGGGGGAUCUUCGGACCUCGUGCUGAAAGAUGAGCCUAUGUCAGAUUAGCUUGUUGGUGGGGUAAUGGCCUACCAAGGCGACGAUCUGUAGCUGGUUUGAGAGAAGGAUC
rnacentral:rRNA from 1 species